GGAAAAGCCGCAGAAAUGGGAGAGUCCCUGUACACCCCUCACUGAGGUCCCCCCACAGUGCCAUCUUCCCUAACCGUGACACAGUGAGGAGACCCGACAGUUAACGUGGCCGCAGGACCAACUGCUGAACUGCAGGCUCUGUUCGCAGCCCCCCAUUUACUACUGUCUUUCUGUUCCAGGAUCCGACCCAGGACUCACUGCGUUUCAUGGCUACUUCUCUUCCAAUCCGGCCUCCCGAGGAACUCGUUUGCUGUGAAGGAGUUGGCGAUGGGGGGAGAGCUAAUGGAAAGCUGGUGUUUACUCUGUGAUUGGCAUGCAGGCCCGCCUCAGGCUCAUGAAGAUGUUCUGUUUUUUUUUUUUUCAUUUUUAAAACGUAUAAAAACGAUUUCACCAUAACAGAGGUGCUCAGUUAUAAACCAAGCUGAACGGAAGAGCUUCGGCUGAAGAGCGGCCGUCUCCUGACAUACACCCCGCACCCCACCUCCCGUCCUGCACGCUCCUGGACAGCCUUUCUCAACAGUCCCUGCCUGAGCUGCUCCGGUGGCCGUGGCCGGAAGCCUAGACGGUGGUACGCUUCUUCCUCUGCUUCUUCACUUGUCCAGCUAGAGAGUGGCUACUGUCCUUGCUGGGGUCUGUGAGGGUUUAAUUGACUUACUCACCCUCUUCUCCGCCUCCCCCAGUGAGGGACAGGUAUGUUCUUUUUCUUACCUAAGUUGGUUCCCUGAAUGGCGGUUGGGGAGGGGUCUCUUAACACCAGGUGGGGCAUGCUGAAAGCUGGGCUUCCUGUGGGGGUGGGUGGGUGGUGCCCAGGUGCCCUGAAUCCCUGUUGGAGGUAGGCAAUUCUGGGGCACAAUCCCUCUGUCCUGAGGGCCCAGUGGUCUGCAGGGCAGAUGUUUCAUAACCAUCGCACGCCCAGUCCCCUUCUUGUUCCAGCCACCCACCCUCUCAAAGGCCAGGGGCUCCCCUGCUCCUCUGAAUCCUGUCUCCUUCA
rnacentral:lncRNA from 1 species